AACAAGUCCAGUCCUGGUGUGGAAGCAGGACACGUUGGCUGUUUACCCAAAGGAAAAACAGAACUGCAGAAAGCCCCAGGCGAUACAUUCCCUGCCUAAAGGCCUUCCUAUCCAUCGCAAACCAGCUGAAGGGAUUGGAGACGCACAGAAAGGCAGCGUUCAGAGCAGGGCCUUGGAUGUGACACCUCACUCGUGCAGCAGAGACACUGAGCCUCCUUAAGCAUCUGUACCUGUUCUGUAUUCAAUUUAUGCAGAGAGGACACCUUGUGUGACACUGCUCUAAGAAAGCCCC